GGCAAGAUGGCCGAGCGGUCUAAGGCGCCAGGUUCAGGUCUACUUGAACUCGCUCUUCUGAGCUUCCUGGUCUAGAAAUAGGCGUGGGUUCGAAUCCCACUCUUGUCA
rfam:Sordaria macrospora k-hell, WGS project CABT02000000 data, contig: 2.11